rnacentral:rRNA from 1 species
GACGAACGCUGGCGGCGUGCUUAACACAUGCAAGUCGAACGGAAAGGCCCUGCUUGCAGGGUGCUCGAGUGGCGAACGGGUGAGUAACACGUGGGUGAUCUGCCCCUUACUUUGGGAUAAGCCUGGGAAACUGGGUCUAAUACUGGAUAGGACCAUGCUGUAGGUGGUGUGGUGGAAAGAUUAGUUUCGGUAAGGGAUGAGCUCGCGGCCUAUCAGCUUGUUGGUGGGGUAAUGGCCUACCAAGGCGUCGACGGGUAGCCGGCCUGAGAGGGUGGACGGCCAAUUUGGGACUGGGAUACGGCCCAGACUCCUACGGGGGGGAGCAGGGGGGAAUAUUGCACAAGGGGCGCAAGCCUGAUGCAGCGACGCCGGGGGGGGGAUGACGGCCUUGGGGUUGUAAACUCCUUUCAGCCAUGACGAAGCCCUUGGGGGGACGGUAGUGGUAGAAGAAGCCCCGGCUAACUACGU